rnacentral:ribozyme from 1 species
AGCAAUACUGCACUGGUAAGGUAUGGAUCCGAAACCUCUCGAAGGUCUACAAAGUCUCUCCAUACCCCCUCCCCCCACUUCGACUCAAAACGUCCCCGGCGUAUAGAACGGUAACAUGUCUCUCCAAAUAUCUGAGCUUGGGUAUACGGGGUAACCCAACCCCUUGGACAGUUAGCGUCUGUCCUCCUUUUUAGAG